GGGACACAUCUCUCAGAAGCAGCAUAGCCGUGUGAUCCAUACACCGACGGACCAUGUGAGGGAGCGGCUGUAUCUGCUGCAUCUGUGUCUUCCCGGCUGUCUGACAGGCACAGAAGUGGGUUUGAGAGAUUUGCUAUGUGUAGGUAUGUGCAGGCUUUUUUCUAGGAAGAGGGCAGGGGAAGCAAAAGAAGAGAGCAACUGCAACAGCUGUAGGCUGCCUGAUUCAACCUGAUGAAGAGAGGAAGACAGAGCCUUUCCUAGGACGGUGUGCAGACCCAGUCAGAACAGCCGUGGACCUAGGAUAUUCCCUGACAGAUGCCAAAAGCUCAAGGGGAUGAGUAGAAACAUGGGAUGCCUCUUAAAGCCCUCACUUGGAGCUGUCACCCCUUCUAUUGAUCAAAGCAAGUCAGAGGGCCUCAUCCAGAGAACAUCCUCGGCCAUCCCCCUUCGUUCUGUGAAGCCGGCCCCCGGAUCAUCGCCCCGCACUGAUGGCCAGUC